UACGUAGGGUGCAAGCGUUGUCCGGAAUUAUUGGGCGUAAAGGGCGCGUAGGCGGCCCGGUAAGUCAAAGGUGAAAUCCCUCGGCUCAACUGAGGAACUGCCUUUGAAACUGUCGGGCUUGAGGCCGGGAGGGGGUAGCGGAAUUCCCAGUGUAGCGGUGAAAUGCGUAGAUAUUGGGAGGAACACCGGUGGCGAAGGCGGCACCUGGACCGGUUCUGACGCUGAUGCGCGAAAGCGUGGGAUAGCAAACAGG
rnacentral:rRNA from 1 species